AGCUCCAAUAGCGUAUAUUAAAGUUGUUGCAGUUAAAAAGCUCGUAGUUGAACCUUGGGUUUGGUUGGCCGGUCCGCUUUAUGGCGAGUACUGGACCCAACCGAGCCUUUCCUUCUGGCUAACCUUUCACCUUUUUGGUGUCUGGCGAACCAGGACUUUUACUUUGAAAAAAUUAGAGUGUUCAAAGCAGGCCUUUGCUCGAAUAUAUUAGCAUGGAAUAAUAGAAUAGGACGUUAUGGUUCUAUUUUGUUGGUUUCUAGGACCAUCGUAAUGAUUAAUAGGGACGGUCGGGGGCAUCAGUAUUCAGUUGUCAGAGGUGAAAUUCUUGGAUUUACUGAAGACUAACUACUGCGAAAGCAUUUGCCAAGGACGUUUUCA
rnacentral:rRNA from 1 species